rnacentral:lncRNA from 1 species
UUCCGUGUUAAAAAAGUGAUUGUCAGGAGAGGUGAAGCUGAGAACUUUUUUUUUUUUGGCUGGAAAAUUAAACAAGAGCCCAGCUUUCCAAUAGUGAGACUGGGGUUUUAGAGCUUCUUCCCUGUGACUUGGCUCCCAGGAGGAGCAAAGGGGAGUUUAACUGCCUGGAACACAGGCAUGGCACCUACUGUCCCUCCUUUGCCUUGCUAAGCAAUCAGUGCCCUUCCUGAAAGGGUUGCUGUAAUCAACUGAGCGCCCACGAUGCAUAGCAUUGGAGUCAAAGUUUCUUCGUCAGGUCCCAUUGGGUCAGUUUUGGUCACAGGAAGUAACAAGAAAAGCUAUAAAACUUCAUACUCCUUGUUGGAUU